rnacentral:tRNA from 1 species
GCAUAAGUAGUAUAUUAAAUAUAUUAGAUUUAGAUUCUAAAGAAAUUAAGUU